rnacentral:tRNA from 1 species
AGGAGUGUGGCUCAUUGGUAGAGUACCUGCUUGGCAUACAGAAGGUCCCGGGGUCAAUUCCCAGCAUUCCUA